GACGAGCGCUGGCGGCGUGCUUAACACAUGCAAGUCGAACGGACAGACAGAGAGCUUGCUCCCUUGAAGUUAGUGGCGAACGGGAGAGUAACGCGUAAUCAACCUGCCCUUCAGAGGGGGAUAACAACGGGAAACCGUUGCUAAUACCGCGUACGAUUCAUGACCGGCAUCGUUUAUGAAUGAAAGGUGGCCUCAAUGUAUAAGCUAUCGCUGACGGUGGGGAUUGCGUCUGAUUAGCGAGUUGUAGGGGUAACGGCCCACCAAGGCAAUGAUAAGUAGCCGGUCUGAGAGGAUGACCGGCCACAUUGGGACUGAGACACGGCCCAAACUCCUACGGGAGGCAGCAGUGGGGAAUUUUGGACAAUGGGCGAAAGCCUGAUCCAGCCAUUCCUCGUGCAGGAUGAAUGCCCUCGGGUUGUAAACUGCUUUUGUACAGAACGAAAAGGUUUCUACUAAUACUAGGAGCUCAUGACGGUACUGUAAGAAUAAGCACCGGCUAACUACGUGCCAGCCGCCGCCGUAA
rnacentral:rRNA from 1 species